ACUCCUACGGGAGGCAGCAGUGGGGAAUUUUGCGCAAUGGGCGAAAGCCUGACGCAGCAACGCCGCGUGAGUGAUGAAGGCUUUCGGGUCGUAAAGCUCUGUCAGGAGGAAAGAAGUGUAUUGUGGCUAAUAUCCACGAUACUUGACGGUACCCCCAAAGGAAGCACCGGCUAACUCCGUGCCAGCAGCCGCGGUAAUACGGAGGGUGCAAGCGUUGUUCGGAUUUAUUGGGCGUAAAGCGCGUGUAGGCGGUUUCUUUAGUCUGAUGUGAAAGCCCCGGGCUCAACCCGGGAAGUGCAUUGGAAACUGGCAGACUUGAAUACGGGAGAGGGUAGUAGAAUUCCUAGUGUAGGAGUGAAAUCCGUAGAUAUUAGGAGGAACACCGGUGGCGAAGGCGGCUGCCUGGACCGAUAUUGACGCUGAGACGCGAAAGCGUGGGUAGCAAACAGGAUUAGAUACCCUGGUAGUCCACGCCGUAAACGAUGAGAACUAGGUGUCGCGGGUAA
rnacentral:rRNA from 1 species